GCGGCGAACGGGUGAGUAACACGUGGGUAAUCUGCCCUCGGCACUGGGAUAGCCCGGGGAAACCCGGAUUAAUACCGGAUGGACUCUCGAGCUUUCGGGCUUGUGAGAAAACGGUGGCUUCGGCUUCCGGCGGAGGAUGAGCCCGCGGCGGAUUAGCUUGUUGGUGAGGUAAUGGCUCACCAAGGCGACGAUCCGUAGCUGGUCUGAGAGGACGAUCAGCCACACUGGGACUGAGACACGGCCCAGACUCCUACGGGAGGCAGCAGUAGGGAAUCUUGCGCAAUGGGCGACAGCCUGACGCAGCGACGCCGCGUGCGGGAAGAAGGCCUUCGGGUUGUAAACCGCUUUCAGGAGGGACGAAGCCACUCGGGUUAAUACCCCAGAGGGUGACGGUACCCCCAGAAGAAGCCCCGGCUAACUACGUGCCAGCAGCCGCGGUAAUACGUAGGGGGCAAGCGUUGUCCGGAUUUAUUGGGCGUAAAGCGCGUGUAGGCGGCCAGACAGGUCUGCUGUGAAAACUCGAGGCUCAACCUCGAGAUGUCGGUGGAAACCGUUUGGCUAGAGUGCGGAAGAGGAGAGUGGAAUUCCUGGUGUAGCGGUGAAAUGCGCAGAUAUCAGGAGGAACACCCGUGGCGAAGGCGGCUCUCUGGUAC
rnacentral:rRNA from 1 species